rnacentral:rRNA from 1 species
UACAGAGGUUGCAAGCGUUAAUCGGAAUUACUGGGCGUAAAGCGCGCGUAGGUGGCAAGUUAAGUCGGAUGUGAAAGCCCUGGGCUCAACCUAGGAAUUGCAUUCGAUACUGGCUAGCUCGAGUUUGGUAGAGGUGAGUGGAAUUCCCGGUGUAGCGGUGAAAUGCGUAGAUAUCUGGAGGAACAUCAGUGGCGAAGGCGCCUCUCUGGACCAAGACUGACGCUGAGGCACGACAGCGUGGGGAUCAAACAGG